UCGGUAAACCUGGUCAGGGCAGGAAGGC
rnacentral:SRP_RNA from 14 species